rnacentral:lncRNA from 1 species
AAACCGAUCAGUGCGUUAAAUCGUGCGGCCUCGACCGGAAAUCAUUCGGUAUCUCCUCCGAUUCCCUCCUCGAGUCUCGCUUCACCGAAAUGCUUUGCUCUCCUCAAUGCUACAACGGUUGCCCCAACGUCAUCGAUCUUUACUUCAACCUCGCCGCCGGAGAAGGUAACAUUUUAGUUUUAGCGUUAAAUAACAACUCGAAUACGAGACCCAACAUAACCGUGUCUUGUCUUUGGCAGGUAUUUUUCUUCCGAAAUUAUGUGAAGCACAAAAAGGAAACAUACGUAGAGGAAUGUCGGAGAUUCGGAGCUCCGGUAUGGUUGCCCCGGGACCCGUCGGUGGUGUGAAGUUUUGGGGAGUUGCUCCGGCAAUGGCGCCAUACUAAAAGCUUUCGGGAAAUUUUCAUAAAGUUGUAGUAGUUUUGAAAUAAAGGGAAAGUUGCACUAUAGCUAAGGGUUUUUCUUAAAGUCGGGUUCUUUAAGUGCAUGAACCGGCGUAUAAUUUGGUUCGUGCAUGAUUUUGAGCCAUGAGCUUGGUGUGUUCAACCCAAUAAGAUGCCACUUUCUAUUAAAUAGGUUUGCUUAUUGUAAUGGGUGUGAAAAAGAAACAAUGUUAUGAAAUUUAUAUAAGUAUACUUAUAUUUGUGUGAUUUAUUCUAAAUUUGCAACCUUUCUUUGUGUUAAUAUCAUGGGAUGGAAAAUGAGCCAAAAAAAUGAAAAUCAUAUUUACUUCCUGAGUUUGUUUUUUUUUUCCCUUCAAAUAACGCCGUGCAUUGUGGUUUAAACCCUCCCAAAAGCACAACGCUGCCUAUUUUUCUUCAAAUUUUGACUGCCAAAAGAAUAAUUGUGCUCCAUAAUCGAGGAAUCAACUAUUUGAUAUAUUUAUUUCAAAGCCCCAGUUUAUUGCUUUGUUGCAAAUAAUAAUAUAACAGUCCGUUUUUUAGUCCGUUUUUUAGUGGUGUCCGAAACAGUAGUUUCGGGGUCAUCAAGUUCGACGAGUAAGUUCAUAAAUAUUAUUAUUUAUUAUUUACGAGUUAAAUGUGAUUUUUAAAAAGGUUUUUGAUUUGAUAAUUUAUGUUAUAUAAGUGAUUUAUUAAGUCCAAAUGGUUUUAGAAAAUAAGGUACCGGGACUUUGUUUUUAUAAAUUGAGCCGUAAAUAUUCUUAUAAAUAUUUACGGAAUGUCAUUAAGGUAGUAUUAAAGCUCUGUUAAGAAAUUUUGAGAUGGCAAUUCCAACAAUUUAUUCCACACAUUAUUUUGGGAAAGAAAACGUAAAAGACAAUUAUUUAGAGAAGUAACACCUAAUUUGAGAAAUAAAGAUCAUUUGAAAAAUCAAAGUCUUUAUAAUAAACGACUCAUGGAUUUUGGGGUUAAGCUCCAACCGUCCGAUAACUCCCAAAUUAUUAAGACUUUUUAAAAAAAUGAAACUUUUGAAAAAAAAAAUCUUUCAUUUAAAAUUUUUCUAAGAAUUGUACUUCACAUUUUAAAAAAAUUAAAAUGAUUAUGGCUAUAUUUUUAGAGUGUCACACAUUAUUGAUUUAAAUUAAUUUAAAAUUUAACAAUGAUAAAAUUAAAUAAAAUAAACCAUAAAAUUAUUACAUAAUUUAACAUAUGGAAAUAAUGAAAAUACUGAUUCAAAAUAAGGAAUUCGGACGAUUAACUUGCAAAUCAAUUAAAUCGAUUUUUAUGAUUUUUAAUAAUUUAUUCUAUUAAAUUGAAAAAAUUAAUUAACUUAAAAAUUGAUAAUUUAACGGAGCUGAUUGAAAUUUUGAAAACCUUAAUUUUUUUAUUUUUUAUUUUAUAAAUUACAGUGUUCCCAAAAGUUUGGGUGAAAGGGUCCCAAAGUACGUUUGAUCACUCCUUUCCUUUUUCUUUUGGGUCAAAAUGUUGUCUUAAAAUUCGGUGCAAAAGCCCAUUAAUUUACUCCAUAAUCGUGGGAAGUGGGAAGUGGGAAGUGGGAACUACAAUGGUCAAAACAAUAACCGUCUUGAAGAGAAACAUACGUACAAUUUUUGCCGUAAUUGACGCUGUGUCAAACAAAUUUCCACAUCUUGGAAAUGUAUUUAGCAGCCCGUCCUAACUAAAAUUCUGAUAAUGAAAUAUUUAGUACUUAAACUUUGUUAUUUUUUUUAUUUUGGUCUUUGAACUUUCUUUUAUUCAUAUUAGUCCUGAAUUUGAAAAGAAAAAUAGUUUUUGAAUUUGGAUUCCGUUAAAAUAUGACAAUGUGACCCUCUGAAAUAAUUUCUUUAUAUUUUUGUGUUUUUUUAGAUUUGAUAUAUUUUUAAAAGUUUAAAGUUUUGCCGAGCUCAAUAAAAGAUUUGUUGAUUGAUGAUCGUAAUGGCUCUAAAUCAGUUUAAUAUAAAUUAGUUGAUAUAAUUGUUUUGUGAUGUAUUUUUUAUGUAAAAAAAAUAUUAUUUUGAUAGAAUAUAAAAUAGUUUAUAUGUACUCAUUGAUGCUAUAUAUUAUAGAAUGUUAAUUAAUAAAUGAUAAGUUAUCACCUCAUUCUGAAGAAAAUCUAAAAGUUGUUUAUUUUGAGAAUGAUGAGGAUAUCAUCCAAAAUUCUUUAGAUUAUAUUUUCUUUUUUAAUUUAUAAUUAUUUUUUAAUAAUUGGGUUCAGGGUAAAAUCGUUUUUACCUUGUCUGACUUUCAAUUUCAUUAUGAUUUUUAUAUUAUUUUUUUUAUAAAUAAUCUUACUUAAACUCUUUUAAAUAUUAUUUUUAUUUUUCAUAUUAUUUAAUUAAAUAUUUAUGAUAAAAAAGUUAUAAAAAAGUUAUAUGACAAAUAUUUAUGAUACACCUGUGAUGUAAGUGAAAAAAAUUCAAGUAAUAAUUAUAUUUAUAAAACAUUAUAAUAAAAUAAAUUAAUUAAAAUGAUAAAAUUAAAGUUUUGAAAGAUAUAUCUUAAGUUUAAAUCGCAUAAUAUUUAUUUCUUUUUCUAGAUUUAUAUAAAAAUAUUAAAAAUAAAAACUUCUCACAAUAACAUUUCUUAAAAAGAAUUGCAUGUAUAUGGCGUGUUUGCAUUUGAAAGGUUGGCAUAAAAGGAGGCAGGAAAAUUGCCGUAAUUGGAUGCAUUGUUAAUGGUUUUUCUACAUGCAUAAAAUCUAAACGGGUUUAGAAUAUACUUUGUUAUAUAUAGAUUAUAAUUAAGAAAUUAUUAAUUAUGUAUUAAAUAUGUUUAUAAAAAAAUAAAUUAGAUUUUGAAAUGUUAAAAAUCAUAAAUUUUUCAUUUUUAAGAUUUAUUUUAAAUUUAAAUUGAAUUUAAUAGCUUUAAUAUAAAAAUAUAAAAACACUUUCAAAUAAUAUUUUUUACUUUUUCUUAAAUAAUUUUUUUAGAAUGAUUUAAUAGUCGAUUAAGUUUGUGACAUCACAUUACAUAUAAAAUCCAAUGCUACAUAAAUAAUCAUGUUUAAAGUUUAAACACGUGUAAAAGAAAUCUGCUUCUUUGCUUACAACCUGCCAAGCGGGGGUCACUAACUUCAUAGUUACGAAGGAAUUCCAAAUAACGACCUUUUACUGUCACUGAACAUUAAAGUAAGGUUCGUGUCAAUUUCUAACUCGAAAAAUCAACCAUGUGAGUUGCUUUUUCAACUCUCCACUGCCAAACCCCCCAAAUAAACCCACUAUAAAACACCCUUUUCUCAACCCCUUCCCCCCAUCAAUCUUGCUGUUAAUAAACACAACAAAAAUCUCAGCUAGCUAGCUUUUCCCCUCCAUUAAAAUCCAUGGCUUCCACCAUUAGCAGGAAGAUGACCUUGGCUGUCCUUGCUCUCGCAUUUUUCUCCUCUUGCUUACAAGCCACACUAGGUUAAUUUGCAUUAUUUGUUACGUUAAAUAGCAUUGCUUUAAGCCUUUUAAGAUUAUAACUAUAUGUGUGUGUGUUUUGUUGUAAGGGAAAUAAUAUGUGAACACCUUGACCAAGACACCUGUGCUUACGCGGUGGCAUCCACAGGCAAGCGCUGUGUGCUCGAGAAGCACGUCAAGAGGAGCUGUGAAGAAGAAUACACUUGUCGUACCUCCGAGAUCGAAGCUGAUAAGAUCAACAACUGGAUCGAAACCGAUCAGUGCGUUAAAUCGUGCGGCCUCGACCGGAAAUCAUUCGGUAUCUCCUCCGAUUCCCUCCUCGAGUCUUGCUUCACCGAAAUGCUUUGCUCUCCUCAAUGCUACAACGGUUGCCCCAAUGUCAUCGAUCUUUACUUCAACCUCGCCGCCGGAGAAGGUAACAUUUUAGUUUUAGCGUUAAAUAACAACUCGAAUACGAGACCCAACAUAACCGUGUCUUGUCUUUGGCAGGUAUUUUUCUUCCGAAAUUAUGUGAAGCACAAAAAGGAAACAUACGUAGAGGAAUGUCG